rnacentral:rRNA from 1 species
UUUACACAUGCAAGUCGAACGGCAGCACGGACUUCGGUCUGGUGGCGAGUGGCGAACGGGUGAGUAAUAUAUCGGAACGUAUCCAAUAAUGGGGGAUAACUAAUCGAAAGGUUGGCUAAUACCGCAUACGCCCUACGGGGGAAAGCUAGGGAUCUUCGGACCUGGCGUUAAUGGAGCGGCCGAUAUCUGAUUAGCUAGUUGGUGAGGUAAAAGCUCACCAAGGCGACGAUCAGUAGCUGGUCUGAGAGGACGACCAGCCACACUGGAACUGAGACACGGUCCAGACUCCUACGGGAGGCAGCAGUGGGGAAUUUUGGACAAUGGGCGCAAGCCUGAUCCAGCCAUUCCGCGUGAGUGAAGAAGGCCUUCGGGUUGUAAAGCUCUUUCGCAAGGGAAGAAAACUUAUCCUCUAACACAGGAUGAGGUUGACGGUACCUUGAUAAGAAGCACCGGCUAACUACGUGCCAGCAGCCGCGGUAAUACGUAGGGUGCGAGCGUUAAUCGGAAUUACUGGGCGUAAAGCGUGCGCAGGCUGUUUUGUAAGUCAGAUGUGAAAUCCCUGAGCUCAACUUAGGAACUGCGUUUGAAACUACAAGACUAGAAUAUGUCAGAGGGGGGUAGAAUUCCACGUGUAGCAGUGAAAUGCGUAGAGAUGUGGAGGAAUACCAAUGGCGAAGGCAGCCCCCUGGGAUAAUAUUGACGCUCAUGCACGAAAGCGUGGGGAGCAAACA